CAUAUUUGCUGAGCGCCAUGCCGCGCCGCGCUGCGCUGAGAAUAGUGACGGCUCUCGUAAUACAUUGAAAGAACGUGAUUUUUUCUUUUUCUUUCCACUGCUGUGUGAUCCAACAGGCCCCUGGAGGGAAUUCCACGGCUAUUAAGACUGCGCACAAGAGGCCUGCCUUCAUUCCAGCCGUGCCGAUGAGAAGCAUAAAAGCCAAGUGUGAUGAUUGUUAAAGAAGGGGAGGCAGGCACACCUGAAAGAGUUUCUGAUACAACUCUUUUGGUAGGUCUCAAUGGAAUCGGCAGGGUUUUCUAAUGAAGUGUCCGUUGUGUGUUGGUGUACUCACUCGGUGGGUCGUAGGCAGAUAUGGCCAUCAUGAUGCAAGACAAACCGAAACACGAGCUGUAACCAGAG